rnacentral:rRNA from 1 species
UCGGGAAUUUUGGGCAAUGGGCGAAAGCCUGACCCAGCAACGCCGCGUGAAGGAUGAAGUCUCUCGGGAUGUAAACUUCGUAAGAAUAGGAAGAAUAAAUGACGGUACUAUUUAUAAGCUCCGGCUAACUACGUGCCAGCAGCCGCGGUAAUACGUAGGGAGCAAGCGUUGUUCGGAUUUACUGGGCGUAAAGGGCGCGUAGGCGGCAAUUCAAGUCAUCUGUGAAAUCUCCGGGCUUAACUCGGAACGGUCAGAUGAUACUGCUUUGCUAGAGUGCAGAAGGGGCAAUCGGAAUUCUUGGUGUAGCGGUGAAAUGCGUAGAUAUCAAGAGGAACACCUGAGGUGAAGACGGGUUGCUGGGCUGACACUGACGCUGAGGCGCGAAAGCCAGGGGAGCAAACGGGAUUAGAUACCCAGGUAGUCCCUGAGCGGGCUGGCAAGGCGC